AACUACAACAUUUUGCCAGAGCUCAAGGCCGAGUCGCUGGAGUUUGGAGGGAAGUGACUGGACUUGGCGGGAGUUCAGAAUGGAGGUGGAUUGGAGAAUGUGACUUGAGGAUCAUCAACAGGG